CCGGCGAUAGCUCAGUUGGUAGAGCGGAGGACUGUAGAGUGCAAAUGUCAAUCAGCAGCGAUCCUUAGGUCGGUGGUUCAAAUCCGCCUCGCCGGA
rfam:Macrostomum lignano uti_cns_0006626, whole genome shotgun sequence.